GAAAAUGAGGGAAAGGAUGGUGUGGCCCACAAAAAAUGAGGGAAACAUCCAUCCCAUACCCUCCACUCUAAUGUUUUUAUUAAUUUCUAAGAUUUUGUUCUUAUGCUUUUAUAUUUUAAUUUAGUUUGAACAUCAGAAGAGCAAAUGAAGUUUUUAUACAUGAUCUUUAAAAAUACUUGGGUAUUAACGGUAAACAAGCAUAUUAAUCUAAAAAAAACAUAUAGCAAACCCUAGACAUGCUGAUCUUACAACAAUUUUUAACUAGUUAUUAACCUCAGGGAACUGCAAUGGGUACUUCUCUUUCUCGAUUUUCAUAUACCCAUCCCUAAUUCUCAUUUCAUCUUCGAAACGAUCAUUUUGUCACAUGUCACCCCUUUAAUCCACCUUCUUGCCACGUGUCACUCCUCUAGCAUUUUACUCCCUAAUUUUCCCGCCCAUACCUCAUUGCUUCAAUGUUCAAUCGACCAAUCAUGUCCUAGAAAUCAGCUUUUCAGUUUUCAGUAUUUAAAGGGAUUUGAUAUUAUAUCCAAAAAUACCUACAAUCAAAACCAUAAUAAUAAUUAUAAAUAAGUCAAACGCAUUUAAUCUGAAAAUAUCCUUUAAAUCUUUCCUAUAUUCAAUCACGGUAUCCUUUAAACCAGCAAUUCAGUUUUCAAACAUAUUUACUCUAUCCCUUAAAAUCUGCAUUUAUUUUUUGAAUUUAUUUAUGUUAUACCGAAUAUACAUCCUUUUGAUAUCAUUUAUAAAAGCCUAACCCCAAAACAAGUUUAUUUUGUUUGGAAUUUCAUCUUCAUUUUGCGUCUUUAUCUUCUGAUUCCAAUCACGGUCUGCACCAGUGGAAAAUACCAUAUUCAUUCACAGGAGUUCAAUCAUUCCCGUAAGUUUAUAAAAAAAACUACUUUCAAAUUAUUUGUUUCUUCUUGUGUUGUUCUUUUUCUAUGUGUGUUUUUUUUUUCACAUUAGUUUCUAUAUUGUAGUGUAUGUCUGUGUGUGUGUGUGUGUUUAUGUUCCUGUUUAUGCAUGUCUAUGUUACUAUGUGUGUUGCUUUUUUCUGAAAUAAAUUAUUAUGUUUGAUGGUCAAUUUCCGUUCCUGUUUAGAUAUGUUGCUUUUUUUAUGAAAAUAAAAUGAAAACUUUAUUUUAUAGCAUCUUACAUUCACAAUCAUCCCAUGUAUAGCAUUGUACUUUAAAAGUUGUUGUGUUUGAGUUUGUGUCAUGGUCGAUUUCUGUUCCGAUUUGUGUGUAUAUGUUACUGUGUUUGUAUCUAUGUUCUUAAUAUAUUUCCUCAUAACUUAUGAUAUUUUUUUACACGUAUAACAACCUACUUUGACUGAAAAUCUUAUCACUUAUUGUUAUUUUCUUGAAUUAACUUAUUAUACUUCAAUUUACAUGUAUAGCAACCUACUAUGACUGAAAAUUACAAUAUAAGAAUUCCAUUUUAUACCAACUUUCUUCUGAAGUCAAAAGUGUGUGUGUUUCGGAUCCUAUAUGAUGUUUAUUUGUGUUUUUCUUUGUGUUAUUCUGUUAUUUUCAACUGUGAUGUUUAUCUAUGUUUUUCUAUUUUUCUGUAAAAGGUUGAUCUGGUAUGACGAAAUGUAAUUAGAAAAAAAGAUAUGGAAUGGUCUGUUAUUAUAUUAUGUUUGUGUUAAUGUAUUUAUGUACUAAAAUGGCUUAAUAAGAAAAAACAAAAAAUGAUUUUGCUUUGGAAAAAAAUCAAUUUAUGACAAUUAUAGCAACGUACCUUCAAAACACACUGUUAUAAAUUUAACUCGAAGUUUGAUUUUUUUACUAUUAAAUUACGCAUUAAACACAAAUCAAUUCAUUUUCAAUUUUUUUUCUUAUUAAGGAAUUGUGGUAUAGAAAUACAGUAAGACAUUUUCCCAAUUGUAACAAUGUGCUUUGAAAGUACAUUGCUAUAAUUUGUAUAAAUCAAUUUUUUUCCAAAAAAAAAAAAUUAAAAUCAUUCAUUUUUGGUUUUUUCUUUUUUAGACAUUGCAGUGCAUCAACAAAUUAUAACAAACCUAAAAAUGAUAACAGGUCAUUCCAUUCAUUUAUUUAUUCAAUUAAUUUCAUUUUGAAAAUGAAUCUAUCCAAUUAUUCCUCUAAGCCAACAUAAUAUGAUAACAGACCAUUCCAUUCCUUUUUCUGAUUCCAUUCCAUCAAACCAAAACAACCUUUAUACAAAUGAAUGCUUUUAAACAAAAAUAAACCAGGAAAUAAUGUGUUAAAUCUGUAAUUAAAUCAGGUAAUUGGCUACAUGAAAUAAAUGUGUAAGUUUUUUUAGUAAAUUUAAUGCGUUUAGAGCAAAUAAAAAGUAUACACAUACCUUGAGUUUAAAACUUCCAACAUCUUUUCCUGAUAUUUAUUGCCAAGAACCUGUAAAAGACAUUAAUGCCCCCUCAUCCACAAAAUUGAAAAUAGCUUACAAAGCAAUGAAAAUGAAGUAAAAUGGUUUGAAAAGAUGAGUAUGUUAAAGUAUAUAUUUCUCUUUGUUGUUGUUCUUGGAUCAAGAAACCCUUUUGCUGUAUUCCAUAGUAAUUUAAAUCCACUACCAGUAUUUACUAUGAACAUCUCAUGCAGUGUCUUAUUAGAAAAAAUCACUAAAAAAACCAAUAAAUGUAAUUUUUUUUAAUAAACUCCCCAUACACAUCACACAGUUCAUUAAAUGACACCUUAUUCAUCAUAUCUAGAAUGAACUUCUACCCGUCAAAGCCAAGUUCCACAUUCAUAACAAGAUCCAUUCCAACAAUAUUUUCAUCUCCAAUCUAUGAACCAGUGAAAAAAUAUAUAUAGUUUAGUGAUUGCAUCCAACAAAACAUCCUACACAUGGUAAUUUAUAUCCCCCAAAAUCAUAUUUACAUAAAGAAAAACAAAAUAAUAGUUUAAUUGUCCAUCAAUAAACAUAAAUGUACAUUAGUUUUCUUUAAAACUCUUUGGAGUGUGUAAAUAAUCAAAACAAAUCCUAACCGUGUACCAACAUAAUCAUGUAUGCUGUUAAAUAAAUAAAAAUCAACCUUUUUUACAACAAUGUAUUACCCAAACAUUUGGCAGUAAUACAUUGCAAAAAUAUCGCAUUUUAAAUUUUCAAAAUUUGAACUUAUGUUACUGUAAAUACGUCUAACUAGCCAAAUUUCCACCACUCUCAAGUAUUUGCUAUUUCAUUGCUUUCUACAUAUCCGACUGGCUAUCAUCUCUACCAAAUUUUUGCACAUUAAACAAGCAAACUCAUUUUCUUAUGUCAAAAAUAAUGAAGAAUGAGGAAUAUAAGCUUUUCUUCUAUGUUGAAUCUUACCGUCUUUUAUGUUGUACAUUUGUUGCUUCAAAUUGACAGCUCCAAUGACCGAUUGCAUCAGCUAAGCAGAAAUAUUUAUUUAAUUUUCUUCUAUCUCCAUCUUCAUACUACAAAUGGAACCUACUUUACACCAUACCUUUAUUCAGCAUCUACCAAUUCCAACUGUACGGUUGAAUCCAACUCAAUACCACAAUCUGAGAUUUUCGUUCUGCUUUUAAUCGACAUGGAUCAAUUUCCAAAAGGGAUUCACUGAAUAUUAUGAUGUAAUCGAUUGCAACUGAUGCUUCUGUGAUUAUAUUGACGGAUUUGGAGAUAAAUAUUUUCAUAAAAAUCAACACGAAGGAAAGUAGGUUGGUGAUGAUAGAUAAACAAAACCCCAAUUCAAUUAGGGCAAAAAACCCUUCAUAUGUCGAUUAAUAGGAAGAAAAAGUUGGGAGAGACGGAGUGAGGUUUUGCUGACAAGAGGGUGGUGGGUAUGUUGGAACUAAUUAAAAG
rnacentral:lncRNA from 1 species